rnacentral:rRNA from 1 species
UACGUAGGGCGCAAGCGUUGUCCGGAAUUAUUGGGCGUAAAGAGCUCGUAGGCGGUCUGUCGCGUCGGCUGUGAAAGCCCGGGGCUCAACCCCGGGUCUGCAGUCGAUACGGGCAGGCUAGAGUGCGGUAGGGGAGACUGGAAUUCCUGGUGUAGCGGUGAAAUGCGCAGAUAUCAGGAGGAACACCGGUGGCGAAGGCGGGUCUCUGGGCCGACACUGACACUGAGAGACGAAAGCUAGGGGAGCAAAUGGG